rnacentral:rRNA from 1 species
UAGUAACGGCGAGUGAAGCGGGAUGAGCUCAAGCUUAAAAUCUCCGUACAAAUUUUGUACGGCGAAUUGUAGUCUAUAGAGGCGUGGUCAGCGUGGGCUCUUGGGGCAAGUUCCUUGGAAAAGGACAGCAUGGAGGGUGAUACUCCCGUUCAUCCCUGAGUGGCUUGUGCGUACGACCCGUUUUCUUUGAGUCGCGUUGUUUGAGAAUGCAGCGCAAAGUAGGUGGUAAAUUCCAUCUAAAGCUAAAUAUUGGUGCGAGACCGAUAGCAUACAAGUACCGUGAGGGAAAGAUGAAAAGAACUUUGAAAAGAGAGUUAAAGAGUACCUGAAACUGCUGAAAGGGAACCGAAUCGUUUCCAGUGUCUAUAAUCCGUGGCAUAUUUCAUUGGCGAGUGUGUGCGUGCGUGUGCUGUGGCAGCGGCCUUUUUGGGCUGCGCUUGGCGCGUGUGGUGUGUGUGCUUGCUGGUGCCCUGUGCUGCGGUGGGACGUCAACGUCAGUUCGUAUGCUGCGGGAAAUGGCUGCCGAGGAGGUAGGGCUUACGCUUGCGUUUGUCUGUUAUAUCUUGGUGGACGAGUCGUCGCGGUUGGGACUGAGGUGCCUACAACGUGUUUUUGAGUGGGUUUGUGUCUCCGUGUGUGCCGUGUGCGGAUAGCUUGCUAUGCGUGUGUGGUUAUGUGUGGAUUGAUAUGGGCUUUAAC